GACGAACGCUGGCGGCGUGCUUAACACAUGCAAGUCGAACGGAAAGGCCCUGCUUGUAGGGUACUCGAGUGGCGAACGGGUGAGUAACACGUGGGUGAUCUGCCCUGCACUUCGGGAUAAGCCUGGGAAACUGGGUCUAAUACCGGAUAGGAGCCAUUUUUAGUGUGAUGGUUGGAAAGUUUUUUCGGUGUAGGAUGAGCUCGCGGCCUAUCAGCUUGUUGGUGGGGUAAUGGCCUACCAAGGCGGCGACGGGUAGCCGGCCUGAGAGGGUGGGCGGCCACAUUGGGACUGAGAUACGGCCCAGACUCCUACGGGAGGCAGCAGUGGGGAAUAUUGCACAAUGGGCGCAAGCCUGAUGCAGCGACGCCGCGUGGGGGAUGACGGCCUUCGGGUUGUAAACUCCUUUCGCUAGGGACGAAGCUUUUUGUGACGGUACCUAGAUAAGAAGCACCGGCUAACUACGUG
rnacentral:rRNA from 1 species